rnacentral:lncRNA from 1 species
GCGACUUUCAAGUACGCGCUCGCGACUUGUGCCCGAUAACUCAUUGUCUCUCAUUUUGCAUUCUACGCGCUCGCGACUUUAAAGUACGCGCUCGCGACUUGUGUUUUCAUGCACUUUGGACUUCUUUUUUAAUGCAAUUGUAUUCCUUUGCUUCACUUAUAUGCCUCCAAUCAUUUUAACACCAAAAUACAGCAUUAAAUCAUGCAUCAAAACAACAUGCAUGCAUACAAAUGAUGUGAUAUCAAAUGAACAUUAUGGAUUAUGAAGUUAUGAACUAUGAAUAUGAUGUUGUGUUAUAUUAUUGACAUACCAACAUUAUGCUCCAUUGAGGUUAGGUAGAA